UUGCAUUGGUCCAAGCUAAAGACCAGGCUCCCCAAAGACCCAUAUCCUAGCCUCUUGGAGAGAGAACACGGCACAAGAUACAAGAAAAGAAAAGCUUACAGCACCUGGUAUUCCCAGGCGGUCUCCCAUCCAAGUACUAACCAGGCCCGACCCUGCUUAGCUUCCGAGAUCGGACGAGAUCGGGCGUGUUCAGGGUGGUAUGGCCGUAAGCGAUGACACAGGCUCCAAAUGAGCUAUUUGAACGUGCUCCUGUGUGGUUCUCUCAAUUAUAAUCAGCAUUUCACUUUCAAUGAACAAUGCGUCGCUCAAGAAAACACCCGGAUACGCAGUCAAGCUUAGUUUUACAGCCUAUCUCUGCAGUCCAUCAUGCUCCACUCCUUUGCUCCGCUUCAUGACAAGAUCUCAGUCCUCCCGCUCUUUGUGCUUUUUUGACUCUUUCUUUCAUUUAUCUUGAAGGCUCAUCUCCAAGUGUAUUUGCAUUGGUCCAAGCUAAAGACCAGGCUCCCCAAAGACCCAUAUCCUAGCCUCUUGGAGAGAGAACACGGCACAAGAUACAAGAAAAGAAAAGCUUACAGCACCUGGUAUUCCCAGGCGGUCUCCCAUCCAAGUACUAACCAGGCCCGACCCUGCUUAGCUUCCGAGAUCGGACGAGAUCGGGCGUGUUCAGGGUGGUAUGGCCGUAAGCGAUGACACAGGCUCCAAAUGAGCUAUUUGAACGUGCUCCUGUGUGGUUCUCUCAAUUAUAAUCAGCAUUUCACUUUCAAUGAACAAUGCGUCGCUCAAGAAAACACCCGGAUACGCAGUCAAGCUUAGUUUUACAGCCUAUCUCUGCAGUCCAUCAUGCUCCACUCCUUUGCUCCGCUUCAUGACAAGAUCUCAGUCCUCCCGCUCUUUGUGCUUUUUUGACUUUUCUUUCAUUUAUCUUGAAGGCUCAUCUCCAAGUGUAUUUGCAUUGGUCCAAGCUAAAGACCAGGCUCCCCAAAGACCCAUAUCCUAGCCUCUUGGAGAGAGAACACGGCACAAGAUACAAGAAAAGAAAAGCUUACAGCACCUGGUAUUCCCAGGCGGUCUCCCAUCCAAGUACUAACCAGGCCCGACCCUGCUUAGCUUCCGAGAUCGGACGAGAUCGGGCGUGUUCAGGGUGGUAUGGCCGUAAGCGAUGACACAGGCUCCAAAUGAGCUAUUUGAACGUGCUCCUGUGUGGUUCUCUCAAUUAUAAUCAGCAUUUCACUUUCAAUGAACAAUGCGUCGCUCAAGAAAACACCCGGAUACGCAGUCAAGCUUAGUUUUACAGCCUAUCUCUGCAGUCCAUCAUGCUCCACUCCUUUGCUCCGCUUCAUGACAAGAUCUCAGUCCUCCCGCUCUUUGUGCUUUUUUGACUCUUUCUUUCAUUUAUCUUGAAGGCUCAUCUCCAAGUGUAUUUGCAUUGGUCCAAGCUAAAGACCAGGCUCCCCAAAGACCCAUAUCCUAGCCUCUUGGAGAGAGAACACGGCACAAGAUACAAGAAAAGAAAAGCUUACAGCACCUGGUAUUCCCAGGCGGUCUCCCAUCCAAGUACUAACCAGGCCCGACCCUGCUUAGCUUCCGAGAUCGGACGAGAUCGGGCGUGUUCAGGGUGGUAUGGCCGUAAGCGAUGACACAGGCUCCAAAUGAGCUAUUUCAACGUGCUCCUGUGUGGUUCUCUCAAUUACAAUCAGCAUUUCACUUUCAAUGAACAAUGCGUCGCUCAAGAAAACACCCGGAUACGCAGUCAAGCUUAGUUUUACAGCCUAUCUCUGCAGUCCAUCAUGCUCCACUCCUUUGCUCCGCUUCAUGACAAGAUCUCAGUCCUCCCGCUCUUUGUGCUUUUUUGACUCUUUCUUUCAUUUAUCUUGAAGGCUCAUCUCCAAGUGUAUUUGCAUUGGUCCAAGCUAAAGACCAGGCUCCCCAAAGACCCAUAUCCUAGCCUCUUGGAGAGAGAACACGGCACAAGAUACAAGAAAAGAAAAGCUUACAGCACCUGGUAUUCCCAGGCGGUCUCCCAUCCAAGUACUAACCAGGCCCGACCCUGCUUAGCUUCCGAGAUCGGACGAGAUCGGGCGUGUUCAGGGUGGUAUGGCCGUAAGCGAUGACACAGGCUCCAAAUGAGCUAUUUGAACGUGCUCCUGUGUGGUUCUCUCAAUUAUAAUCAGCAUUUCACUUUCAAUGAACAAUGCGUCGCUCAAGAAAACACCCGGAUACGCAGUCAAGCUUAGUUUUACAGCCUAUCUCUGCAGUCCAUCAUGCUCCACUCCUUUGCUCCGCUUCAUGACAAGAUCUCAGUCCUCCCGCUCUUUGUGCUUUUUUGACUUUUUCUUUCAUUUAUCUUGAAGGCUCAUCUCCAAGUGUAUUUGCAUUGGUCCAAGCUAAAGACCAGGCUCCCCAAAGACCCAUAUCCUAGCCUCUUGGAGAGAGAACACGGCACAAGAUACAAGAAAAGAAAAGCUUACAGCACCUGGUAUUCCCAGGCGGUCUCCCAUCCAAGUACUAACCAGGCCCGACCCUGCUUAGCUUCCGAGAUCGGACGAGAUCGGGCGUGUUCAGGGUGGUAUGGCCGUAAGCGAUGACACAGGCUCCAAAUGAGCUAUUUCAACGUGCUCCUGUGUGGUUCUCUCAAUUAUAAUCAGCAUUUCACUUUCAAUGAACAAUGCGUCGCUCAAGAAAACACCCGGAUACGCAGUCAAGCUUAGUUUUACAGCCUAUCUCUGCAGUCCAUCAUGCUCCACUCCUUUGCUCCGCUUCAUGACAAGAUCUCAGUCCUCCCGCUCUUUGUGCUUUUUUGACUCUUUCUUUCAUUUAUCUUGAAGGCUCAUCUCCAAGUGUAUUUGCAUUGGUCCAAGCUAAAGACCAGGCUCCCCAAAGACCCAUAUCCUAGCCUCUUGGAGAGAGAACACGGCACAAGAUACAAGAAAAGAAAAGCUUACAGCACCUGGUAUUCCCAGGCGGUCUCCCAUCCAAGUACUAACCAGGCCCGACCCUGCUUAGCUUCCGAGAUCGGACGAGAUCGGGCGUGUUCAGGGUGGUAUGGCCGUAAGCGAUGACACAGGCUCCAAAUGAGCUAUUUGAACGUGCUCCUGUGUGGUUCUCUCAAUUAUAAUCAGCAUUUCACUUUCAAUGAACAAUGCGUCGCUCAAGAAAACACCCGGAUACGCAGUCAAGCUUAGUUUUACAGCCUAUCUCUGCAGUCCAUCAUGCUCCACUCCUUUGCUCCGCUUCAUGACAAGAUCUCAGUCCUCCCGCUCUUUGUGCUUUUUUGACUCUUUCUUUCAUUUAUCUUGAAGGCUCAUCUCCAAGUGUAUUUGCAUUGGUCCAAGCUAAAGACCAGGCUCCCCAAAGACCCAUAUCCUAGCCUCUUGGAGAGAGAACACGGCACAAGAUACAAGAAAAGAAAAGCUUACAGCACCUGGUAUUCCCAGGCGGUCUCCCAUCCAAGUACUAACCAGGCCCGACCCUGCUUAGCUUCCGAGAUCGGACGAGAUCGGGCGUGUUCAGGGUGGUAUGGCCGUAAGCGAUGACACAGGCUCCAAAUGAGCUAUUUCAACGUGCUCCUGUGUGGUUCUCUCAAUUAUAAUCAGCAUUUCACUUUCAAUGAACAAUGCGUCGCUCAAGAAAACACCCGGAUACGCAGUCAAGCUUAGUUUUACAGCCUAUCUCUGCAGUCCAUCAUGCUCCACUCCUUUGCUCCGCUUCAUGACAAGAUCUCAGUCCUCCCGCUCUUUGUGCUUUUUUGACUCUUUCUUUCAUUUAUCUUGAAGGCUCAUCUCCAAGUGUAUUUGCAUUGGUCCAAGCUAAAGACCAGGCUCCCCAAAGACCCAUAUCCUAGCCUCUUGGAGAGAGAACACGGCACAAGAUACAAGAAAAGAAAAGCUUACAGCACCUGGUAUUCCCAGGCGGUCUCCCAUCCAAGUACUAACCAGGCCCGACCCUGCUUAGCUUCCGAGAUCGGACGAGAUCGGGCGUGUUCAGGGUGGUAUGGCCGUAAGCGAUGACACAGGCUCCAAAUGAGCUAUUUCAACGUGCUCCUGUGUGGUUCUCUCAAUUAUAAUCAGCAUUUCACUUUCAAUGAACAAUGCGUCGCUCAAGAAAACACCCGGAUACGCAGUCAAGCUUAGUUUUACAGCCUAUCUCUGCAGUCCAUCAUGCUCCACUCCUUUGCUCCGCUUCAUGACAAGAUCUCAGUCCUCCCGCUCUUUGUGCUUUUUUGACUCUUUCUUUCAUUUAUCUUGAAGGCUCAUCUCCAAGUGUAUUUGCAUUGGUCCAAGCUAAAGACCAGGCUCCCCAAAGACCCAUAUCCUAGCCUCUUGGAGAGAGAACACGGCACAAGAUACAAGAAAAGAAAAGCUUACAGCACCUGGUAUUCCCAGGCGGUCUCCCAUCCAAGUACUAACCAGGCCCGACCCUGCUUAGCUUCCGAGAUCGGACGAGAUCGGGCGUGUUCAGGGUGGUAUGGCCGUAAGCGAUGACACAGGCUCCAAAUGAGCUAUUUGAACGUGCUCCUGUGUGGUUCUCUCAAUUAUAAUCAGCAUUUCACUUUCAAUGAACAAUGCGUCGCUCAAGAAAACACCCGGAUACGCAGUCAAGCUUAGUUUUACAGCCUAUCUCUGCAGUCCAUCAUGCUCCACUCCUUUGCUCCGCUUCAUGACAAGAUCUCAGUCCUCCCGCUCUUUGUGCUUUUUUGACUCUUUCUUUCAUUUAUCUUGAAGGCUCAUCUCCAAGUGUAUUUGCAUUGGUCCAAGCUAAAGACCAGGCUCCCCAAAGACCCAUAUCCUAGCCUCUUGGAGAGAGAACACGGCACAAGAUACAAGAAAAGAAAAGCUUACAGCACCUGGUAUUCCCAGGCGGUCUCCCAUCCAAGUACUAACCAGGCCCGACCCUGCUUAGCUUCCGAGAUCGGACGAGAUCGGGCGUGUUCAGGGUGGUAUGGCCGUAAGCGAUGACACAGGCUCCAAAUGAGCUAUUUGAACGUGCUCCUGUGUGGUUCUCUCAAUUAUAAUCAGCAUUUCACUUUCAAUGAACAAUGCGUCGCUCAAGAAAACACCCGGAUACGCAGUCAAGCUUAGUUUUACAGCCUAUCUCUGCAGUCCAUCAUGCUCCACUCCUUUGCUCCGCUUCAUGACAAGAUCUCAGUCCUCCCGCUCUUUGUGCUUUUUUGACUUUUUCUUUCAUUUAUCUUGAAGGCUCAUCUCCAAGUGUAUUUGCAUUGGUCCAAGCUAAAGACCAGGCUCCCCAAAGACCCAUAUCCUAGCCUCUUGGAGAGAGAACACGGCACAAGAUACAAGAAAAGAAAAGCUUACAGCACCUGGUAUUCCCAGGCGGUCUCCCAUCCAAGUACUAACCAGGCCCGACCCUGCUUAGCUUCCGAGAUCGGACGAGAUCGGGCGUGUUCAGGGUGGUAUGGCCGUAAGCGAUGACACAGGCUCCAAAUGAGCUAUUUCAACGUGCUCCUGUGUGGUUCUCUCAAUUAUAAUCAGCAUUUCACUUUCAAUGAACAAUGCGUCGCUCAAGAAAACACCCGGAUACGCAGUCAAGCUUAGUUUUACAGCCUAUCUCUGCAGUCCAUCAUGCUCCACUCCUUUGCUCCGCUUCAUGACAAGAUCUCAGUCCUCCCGCUCUUUGUGCUUUUUGACUCUUUCUUUCAUUUAUCUUGAAGGCUCAUCUCCAAGUGUAUUUGCAUUGGUCCAAGCUAAAGACCAGGCUCCCCAAAGACCCAUAUCCUAGCCUCUUGGAGAGAGAACACGGCACAAGAUACAAGAAAAGAAAAGCUUACAGCACCUGGUAUUCCCAGGCGGUCUCCCAUCCAAGUACUAACCAGGCCCGACCCUGCUUAGCUUCCGAGAUCGGACGAGAUCGGGCGUGUUCAGGGUGGUAUGGCCGUAAGCGAUGACACAGGCUCCAAAUGAGCUAUUUCAACGUGCUCCUGUGUGGUUCUCUCAAUUAUAAUCAGCAUUUCACUUUCAAUGAACAAUGCGUCGCUCAAGAAAACACCCGGAUACGCAGUCAAGCUUAGUUUUACAGCCUAUCUCUGCAGUCCAUCAUGCUCCACUCCUUUGCUCCGCUUCAUGACAAGAUCUCAGUCCUCCCGCUCUUUGUGCUUUUUUGACUCUUUCUUUCAUUUAUCUUGAAGGCUCAUCUCCAAGUGUAUUUGCAUUGGUCCAAGCUAAAGACCAGGCUCCCCAAAGACCCAUAUCCUAGCCUCUUGGAGAGAGAACACGGCACAAGAUACAAGAAAAGAAAAGCUUACAGCACCUGGUAUUCCCAGGCGGUCUCCCAUCCAAGUACUAACCAGGCCCGACCCUGCUUAGCUUCCGAGAUCGGACGAGAUCGGGCGUGUUCAGGGUGGUAUGGCCGUAAGCGAUGACACAGGCUCCAAAUGAGCUAUUUGAACGUGCUCCUGUGUGGUUCUCUCAAUUAUAAUCAGCAUUUCACUUUCAAUGAACAAUGCGUCGCUCAAGAAAACACCCGGAUACGCAGUCAAGCUUAGUUUUACAGCCUAUCUCUGCAGUCCAUCAUGCUCCACUCCUUUGCUCCGCUUCAUGACAAGAUCUCAGUCCUCCCGCUCUUUGUGCUUUUUUGACUCUUUCUUUCAUUUAUCUUGAAGGCUCAUCUCCAAGUGUAUUUGCAUUGGUCCAAGCUAAAGACCAGGCUCCCCAAAGACCCAUAUCCUAGCCUCUUGGAGAGAGAACACGGCACAAGAUACAAGAAAAGAAAAGCUUACAGCACCUGGUAUUCCCAGGCGGUCUCCCAUCCAAGUACUAACCAGGCCCGACCCUGCUUAGCUUCCGAGAUCGGACGAGAUCGGGCGUGUUCAGGGUGGUAUGGCCGUAAGCGAUGACACAGGCUCCAAAUGAGCUAUUUCAACGUGCUCCUGUGUGGUUCUCUCAAUUAUAAUCAGCAUUUCACUUUCAAUGAACAAUGCGUCGCUCAAGAAAACACCCGGAUACGCAGUCAAGCUUAGUUUUACAGCCUAUCUCUGCAGUCCAUCAUGCUCCACUCCUUUGCUCCGCUUCAUGACAAGAUCUCAGUCCUCCCGCUCUUUGUGCUUUUUUGACUUUUUCUUUCAUUUAUCUUGAAGGCUCAUCUCCAAGUGUAUUUGCAUUGGUCCAAGCUAAAGACCAGGCUCCCCAAAGACCCAUAUCCUAGCCUCUUGGAGAGAGAACACGGCACAAGAUACAAGAAAAGAAAAGCUUACAGCACCUGGUAUUCCCAGGCGGUCUCCCAUCCAAGUACUAACCAGGCCCGACCCUGCUUAGCUUCCGAGAUCGGACGAGAUCGGGCGUGUUCAGGGUGGUAUGGCCGUAAGCGAUGACACAGGCUCCAAAUGAGCUAUUUCAACGUGCUCCUGUGUGGUUCUCUCAAUUAUAAUCAGCAUUUCACUUUCAAUGAACAAUGCGUCGCUCAAGAAAACACCCGGAUACGCAGUCAAGCUUAGUUUUACAGCCUAUCUCUGCAGUCCAUCAUGCUCCACUCCUUUGCUCCGCUUCAUGACAAGAUCUCAGUCCUCCCGCUCUUUGUGCUUUUUUGACUCUUUCUUUCAUUUAUCUUGAAGGCUCAUCUCCAAGUGUAUUUGCAUUGGUCCAAGCUAAAGACCAGGCUCCCCAAAGACCCAUAUCCUAGCCUCUUGGAGAGAGAACACGGCACAAGAUACAAGAAAAGAAAAGCUUACAGCACCUGGUAUUCCCAGGCGGUCUCCCAUCCAAGUACUAACCAGGCCCGACCCUGCUUAGCUUCCGAGAUCGGACGAGAUCGGGCGUGUUCAGGGUGGUAUGGCCGUAAGCGAUGACACAGGCUCCAAAUGAGCUAUUUCAACGUGCUCCUGUGUGGUUCUCUCAAUUAUAAUCAGCAUUUCACUUUCAAUGAACAAUGCGUCGCUCAAGAAAACACCCGGAUACGCAGUCAAGCUUAGUUUUACAGCCUAUCUCUGCAGUCCAUCAUGCUCCACUCCUUUGCUCCGCUUCAUGACAAGAUCUCAGUCCUCCCGCUCUUUGUGCUUUUUUGACUCUUUCUUUCAUUUAUCUUGAAGGCUCAUCUCCAAGUGUAUUUGCAUUGGUCCAAGCUAAAGACCAGGCUCCCCAAAGACCCAUAUCCUAGCCUCUUGGAGAGAGAACACGGCACAAGAUACAAGAAAAGAAAAGCUUACAGCACCUGGUAUUCCCAGGCGGUCUCCCAUCCAAGUACUAACCAGGCCCGACCCUGCUUAGCUUCCGAGAUCGGACGAGAUCGGGCGUGUUCAGGGUGGUAUGGCCGUAAGCGAUGACACAGGCUCCAAAUGAGCUAUUUGAACGUGCUCCUGUGUGGUUCUCUCAAUUAUAAUCAGCAUUUCACUUUCAAUGAACAAUGCGUCGCUCAAGAAAACACCCGGAUACGCAGUCAAGCUUAGUUUUACAGCCUAUCUCUGCAGUCCAUCAUGCUCCACUCCUUUGCUCCGCUUCAUGACAAGAUCUCAGUCCUCCCGCUCUUUGUGCUUUUUUGACUUUUUCUUUCAUUUAUCUUGAAGGCUCAUCUCCAAGUGUAUUUGCAUUGGUCCAAGCUAAAGACCAGGCUCCCCAAAGACCCAUAUCCUAGCCUCUUGGAGAGAGAACACGGCACAAGAUACAAGAAAAGAAAAGCUUACAGCACCUGGUAUUCCCAGGCGGUCUCCCAUCCAAGUACUAACCAGGCCCGACCCUGCUUAGCUUCCGAGAUCGGACGAGAUCGGGCGUGUUCAGGGUGGUAUGGCCGUAAGCGAUGACACAGGCUCCAAAUGAGCUAUUUCAACGUGCUCCUGUGUGGUUCUCUCAAUUAUAAUCAGCAUUUCACUUUCAAUGAACAAUGCGUCGCUCAAGAAAACACCCGGAUACGCAGUCAAGCUUAGUUUUACAGCCUAUCUCUGCAGUCCAUCAUGCUCCACUCCUUUGCUCCGCUUCAUGACAAGAUCUCAGUCCUCCCGCUCUUUGUGCUUUUUUGACUCUUUCUUUCAUUUAUCUUGAAGGCUCAUCUCCAAGUGUAUUUGCAUUGGUCCAAGCUAAAGACCAGGCUCCCCAAAGACCCAUAUCCUAGCCUCUUGGAGAGGGAAUACGGCACAAGAUACAAGAAAAGAAAAGCUUACAGCACCUGGUAUUCCCAGGCGGUCUCCCAUCCAAGUACUAACCAGGCCCGACCCUGCUUAGCUUCCGAGAUCGGACGAGAUCGGGCGUGUUCAGGGUGGUAUGGCCGUAAGCGAUGACACAGGCUCCAAAUGAGCUAUUUGAACGUGCUCCUGUGUGGUUCUCUCAAUUAUAAUCAGCAUUUCACUUUCAAUGAACAAUGCGUCGCUCAAGAAAACACCCGGAUACGCAGUCAAGCUUAGUUUUACAGCCUAUCUCUGCAGUCCAUCAUGCUCCACUCCUUUGCUCCGCUUCAUGACAAGAUCUCAGUCCUCCCGCUCUUUGUGCUUUUUUGACUCUUUCUUUCAUUUAUCUUGAAGGCUCAUCUCCAAGUGUAUUUGCAUUGGUCCAAGCUAAAGACCAGGCUCCCCAAAGACCCAUAUCCUAGCCUCUUGGAGAGAGAACACGGCACAAGAUACAAGAAAAGAAAAGCUUACAGCACCUGGUAUUCCCAGGCGGUCUCCCAUCCAAGUACUAACCAGGCCCGACCCUGCUUAGCUUCCGAGAUCGGACGAGAUCGGGCGUGUUCAGGGUGGUAUGGCCGUAAGCGAUGACACAGGCUCCAAAUGAGCUAUUUGAACGUGCUCCUGUGUGGUUCUCUCAAUUAUAAUCAGCAUUUCACUUUCAAUGAACAAUGCGUCGCUCAAGAAAACACCCGGAUACGCAGUCAAGCUUAGUUUUACAGCCUAUCUCUGCAGUCCAUCAUGCUCCACUCCUUUGCUCCGCUUCAUGACAAGAUCUCAGUCCUCCCGCUCUUUGUGCUUUUUUGACUCUUUCUUUCAUUUAUCUUGAAGGCUCAUCUCCAAGUGUAUUUGCAUUGGUCCAAGCUAAAGACCAGGCUCCCCAAAGACCCAUAUCCUAGCCUCUUGGAGAGAGAACACGGCACAAGAUACAAGAAAAGAAAAGCUUACAGCACCUGGUAUUCCCAGGCGGUCUCCCAUCCAAGUACUAACCAGGCCCGACCCUGCUUAGCUUCCGAGAUCGGACGAGAUCGGGCGUGUUCAGGGUGGUAUGGCCGUAAGCGAUGACACAGGCUCCAAAUGAGCUAUUUCAACGUGCUCCUGUGUGGUUCUCUCAAUUAUAAUCAGCAUUUCACUUUCAAUGAACAAUGCGUCGCUCAAGAAAACACCCGGAUACGCAGUCAAGCUUAGUUUUACAGCCUAUCUCUGCAGUCCAUCAUGCUCCACUCCUUUGCUCCGCUUCAUGACAAGAUCUCAGUCCUCCCGCUCUUUGUGCUUUUUUGACUCUUUCUUUCAUUUAUCUUGAAGGCUCAUCUCCAAGUGUAUUUGCAUUGGUCCAAGCUAAAGACCAGGCUCCCCAAAGACCCAUAUCCUAGCCUCUUGGAGAGAGAACACGGCACAAGAUACAAGAAAAGAAAAGCUUACAGCACCUGGUAUUCCCAGGCGGUCUCCCAUCCAAGUACUAACCAGGCCCGACCCUGCUUAGCUUCCGAGAUCGGACGAGAUCGGGCGUGUUCAGGGUGGUAUGGCCGUAAGCGAUGACACAGGCUCCAAAUGAGCUAUUUGAACGUGCUCCUGUGUGGUUCUCUCAAUUAUAAUCAGCAUUUCACUUUCAAUGAACAAUGCGUCGCUCAAGAAAACACCCGGAUACGCAGUCAAGCUUAGUUUUACAGCCUAUCUCUGCAGUCCAUCAUGCUCCACUCCUUUGCUCCGCUUCAUGACAAGAUCUCAGUCCUCCCGCUCUUUGUGCUUUUUUGACUCUUUCUUUCAUUUAUCUUGAAGGCUCAUCUCCAAGUGUAUUUGCAUUGGUCCAAGCUAAAGACCAGGCUCCCCAAAGACCCAUAUCCUAGCCUCUUGGAGAGAGAACACGGCACAAGAUACAAGAAAAGAAAAGCUUACAGCACCUGGUAUUCCCAGGCGGUCUCCCAUCCAAGUACUAACCAGGCCCGACCCUGCUUAGCUUCCGAGAUCGGACGAGAUCGGGCGUGUUCAGGGUGGUAUGGCCGUAAGCGAUGACACAGGCUCCAAAUGAGCUAUUUCAACGUGCUCCUGUGUGGUUCUCUCAAUUAUAAUCAGCAUUUCACUUUCAAUGAACAAUGCGUCGCUCAAGAAAACACCCGGAUACGCAGUCAAGCUUAGUUUUACAGCCUAUCUCUGCAGUCCAUCAUGCUCCACUCCUUUGCUCCGCUUCAUGACAAGAUCUCAGUCCUCCCGCUCUUUGUGCUUUUUUGACUUUUUCUUUCAUUUAUCUUGAAGGCUCAUCUCCAAGUGUAUUUGCAUUGGUCCAAGCUAAAGACCAGGCUCCCCAAAGACCCAUAUCCUAGCCUCUUGGAGAGAGAACACGGCACAAGAUACAAGAAAAGAAAAGCUUACAGCACCUGGUAUUCCCAGGCGGUCUCCCAUCCAAGUACUAACCAGGCCCGACCCUGCUUAGCUUCCGAGAUCGGACGAGAUCGGGCGUGUUCAGGGUGGUAUGGCCGUAAGCGAUGACACAGGCUCCAAAUGAGCUAUUUCAACGUGCUCCUGUGUGGUUCUCUCAAUUAUAAUCAGCAUUUCACUUUCAAUGAACAAUGCGUCGCUCAAGAAAACACCCGGAUACGCAGUCAAGCUUAGUUUUACAGCCUAUCUCUGCAGUCCAUCAUGCUCCACUCCUUUGCUCCGCUUCAUGACAAGAUCUCAGUCCUCCCGCUCUUUGUGCUUUUUUGACUUUUUCUUUCAUUUAUCUUGAAGGCUCAUCUCCAAGUGUAUUUGCAUUGGUCCAAGCUAAAGACCAGGCUCCCCAAAGACCCAUAUCCUAGCCUCUUGGAGAGAGAACACGGCACAAGAUACAAGAAAAGAAAAGCUUACAGCACCUGGUAUUCCCAGGCGGUCUCCCAUCCAAGUACUAACCAGGCCCGACCCUGCUUAGCUUCCGAGAUCGGACGAGAUCGGGCGUGUUCAGGGUGGUAUGGCCGUAAGCGAUGACACAGGCUCCAAAUGAGCUAUUUGAACGUGCUCCUGUGUGGUUCUCUCAAUUAUAAUCAGCAUUUCACUUUCAAUGAACAAUGCGUCGCUCAAGAAAACACCCGGAUACGCAGUCAAGCUUAGUUUUACAGCCUAUCUCUGCAGUCCAUCAUGCUCCACUCCUUUGCUCCGCUUCAUGACAAGAUCUCAGUCCUCCCGCUCUUUGUGCUUUUUUGACUCUUUCUUUCAUUUAUCUUGAAGGCUCAUCUCCAAGUGUAUUUGCAUUGGUCCAAGCUAAAGACCAGGCUCCCCAAAGACCCAUAUCCUAGCCUCUUGGAGAGAGAACACGGCACAAGAUACAAGAAAAGAAAAGCUUACAGCACCUGGUAUUCCCAGGCGGUCUCCCAUCCAAGUACUAACCAGGCCCGACCCUGCUUAGCUUCCGAGAUCGGACGAGAUCGGGCGUGUUCAGGGUGGUAUGGCCGUAAGCGAUGACACAGGCUCCAAAUGAGCUAUUUCAACGUGCUCCUGUGUGGUUCUCUCAAUUAUAAUCAGCAUUUCACUUUCAAUGAACAAUGCGUCGCUCAAGAAAACACCCGGAUACGCAGUCAAGCUUAGUUUUACAGCCUAUCUCUGCAGUCCAUCAUGCUCCACUCCUUUGCUCCGCUUCAUGACAAGAUCUCAGUCCUCCCGCUCUUUGUGCUUUUUUGACUCUUUCUUUCAUUUAUCUUGAAGGCUCAUCUCCAAGUGUAUUUGCAUUGGUCCAAGCUAAAGACCAGGCUCCCCAAAGACCCAUAUCCUAGCCUCUUGGAGAGAGAACACGGCACAAGAUACAAGAAAAGAAAAGCUUACAGCACCUGGUAUUCCCAGGCGGUCUCCCAUCCAAGUACUAACCAGGCCCGACCCUGCUUAGCUUCCGAGAUCGGACGAGAUCGGGCGUGUUCAGGGUGGUAUGGCCGUAAGCGAUGACACAGGCUCCAAAUGAGCUAUUUCAACGUGCUCCUGUGUGGUUCUCUCAAUUAUAAUCAGCAUUUCACUUUCAAUGAACAAUGCGUCGCUCAAGAAAACACCCGGAUACGCAGUCAAGCUUAGUUUUACAGCCUAUCUCUGCAGUCCAUCAUGCUCCACUCCUUUGCUCCGCUUCAUGACAAGAUCUCAGUCCUCCCGCUCUUUGUGCUUUUUUGACUCUUUCUUUCAUUUAUCUUGAAGGCUCAUCUCCAAGUGUAUUUGCAUUGGUCCAAGCUAAAGACCAGGCUCCCCAAAGACCCAUAUCCUAGCCUCUUGGAGAGAGAACACGGCACAAGAUACAAGAAAAGAAAAGCUUACAGCACCUGGUAUUCCCAGGCGGUCUCCCAUCCAAGUACUAACCAGGCCCGACCCUGCUUAGCUUCCGAGAUCGGACGAGAUCGGGCGUGUUCAGGGUGGUAUGGCCGUAAGCGAUGACACAGGCUCCAAAUGAGCUAUUUCAACGUGCUCCUGUGUGGUUCUCUCAAUUAUAAUCAGCAUUUCACUUUCAAUGAACAAUGCGUCGCUCAAGAAAACACCCGGAUACGCAGUCAAGCUUAGUUUUACAGCCUAUCUCUGCAGUCCAUCAUGCUCCACUCCUUUGCUCCGCUUCAUGACAAGAUCUCAGUCCUCCCGCUCUUUGUGCUUUUUUGACUCUUUCUUUCAUUUAUCUUGAAGGCUCAUCUCCAAGUGUAUUUGCAUUGGUCCAAGCUAAAGACCAGGCUCCCCAAAGACCCAUAUCCUAGCCUCUUGGAGAGAGAACACGGCACAAGAUACAAGAAAAGAAAAGCUUACAGCACCUGGUAUUCCCAGGCGGUCUCCCAUCCAAGUACUAACCAGGCCCGACCCUGCUUAGCUUCCGAGAUCGGACGAGAUCGGGCGUGUUCAGGGUGGUAUGGCCGUAAGCGAUGACACAGGCUCCAAAUGAGCUAUUUCAACGUGCUCCUGUGUGGUUCUCUCAAUUAUAAUCAGCAUUUCACUUUCAAUGAACAAUGCGUCGCUCAAGAAAACACCCGGAUACGCAGUCAAGCUUAGUUUUACAGCCUAUCUCUGCAGUCCAUCAUGCUCCACUCCUUUGCUCCGCUUCAUGACAAGAUCUCAGUCCUCCCGCUCUUUGUGCUUUUUUGACUCUUUCUUUCAUUUAUCUUGAAGGCUCAUCUCCAAGUGUAUUUGCAUUGGUCCAAGCUAAAGACCAGGCUCCCCAAAGACCCAUAUCCUAGCCUCUUGGAGAGAGAACACGGCACAAGAUACAAGAAAAGAAAAGCUUACAGCACCUGGUAUUCCCAGGCGGUCUCCCAUCCAAGUACUAACCAGGCCCGACCCUGCUUAGCUUCCGAGAUCGGACGAGAUCGGGCGUGUUCAGGGUGGUAUGGCCGUAAGCGAUGACACAGGCUCCAAAUGAGCUAUUUCAACGUGCUCCUGUGUGGUUCUCUCAAUUAUAAUCAGCAUUUCACUUUCAAUGAACAAUGCGUCGCUCAAGAAAACACCCGGAUACGCAGUCAAGCUUAGUUUUACAGCCUAUCUCUGCAGUCCAUCAUGCUCCACUCCUUUGCUCCACUUCAUGACAAGAUCUCAGUCCUCCCGCUCUUUGUGCUUUUUUGACUCUUUCUUUCAUUUAUCUUGAAGGCUCAUCUCCAAGUGUAUUUGCAUUGGUCCAAGCUAAAGACCAGGCUCCCCAAAGACCCAUAUCCUAGCCUCUUGGAGAGAGAACACGGCACAAGAUACAAGAAAAGAAAAGCUUACAGCACCUGGUAUUCCCAGGCGGUCUCCCAUCCAAGUACUAACCAGGCCCGACCCUGCUUAGCUUCCGAGAUCGGACGAGAUCGGGCGUGUUCAGGGUGGUAUGGCCGUAAGCGAUGACACAGGCUCCAAAUGAGCUAUUUCAACGUGCUCCUGUGUGGUUCUCUCAAUUAUAAUCAGCAUUUCACUUUCAAUGAACAAUGCGUCGCUCAAGAAAACACCCGGAUACGCAGUCAAGCUUAGUUUUACAGCCUAUCUCUGCAGUCCAUCAUGCUCCACUCCUUUGCUCCGCUUCAUGACAAGAUCUCAGUCCUCCCGCUCUUUGUGCUUUUUUGACCUUUUCUUUCAUUUAUCUUGAAGGCUCAUCUCCAAGUGUAUUUGCAUUGGUCCAAGCUAAAGACCAGGCUCCCCAAAGACCCAUAUCCUAGCCUCUUGGAGAGAGAACACGGCACAAGAUACAAGAAAAGAAAAGCUUACAGCACCUGGUAUUCCCAGGCGGUCUCCCAUCCAAGUACUAACCAGGCCCGACCCUGCUUAGCUUCCGAGAUCGGACGAGAUCGGGCGUGUUCAGGGUGGUAUGGCCGUAAGCGAUGACACAGGCUCCAAAUGAGCUAUUUCAACGUGCUCCUGUGUGGUUCUCUCAAUUAUAAUCAGCAUUUCACUUUCAAUGAACAAUGCGUCGCUCAAGAAAACACCCGGAUACGCAGUCAAGCUUAGUUUUACAGCCUAUCUCUGCAGUCCAUCAUGCUCCACUCCUUUGCUCCGCUUCAUGACAAGAUCUCAGUCCUCCCGCUCUUUGUGCUUUUUUGACUCUUUCUUUCAUUUAUCUUGAAGGCUCAUCUCCAAGUGUAUUUGCAUUGGUCCAAGCUAAAGACCAGGCUCCCCAAAGACCCAUAUCCUAGCCUCUUGGAGAGAGAACACGGCACAAGAUACAAGAAAAGAAAAGCUUACAGCACCUGGUAUUCCCAGGCGGUCUCCCAUCCAAGUACUAACCAGGCCCGACCCUGCUUAGCUUCCGAGAUCGGACGAGAUCGGGCGUGUUCAGGGUGGUAUGGCCGUAAGCGAUGACACAGGCUCCAAAUGAGCUAUUUCAACGUGCUCCUGUGUGGUUCUCUCAAUUAUAAUCAGCAUUUCACUUUCAAUGAACAAUGCGUCGCUCAAGAAAACACCCGGAUACGCAGUCAAGCUUAGUUUUACAGCCUAUCUCUGCAGUCCAUCAUGCUCCACUCCUUUGCUCCGCUUCAUGACAAGAUCUCAGUCCUCCCGCUCUUUGUGCUUUUUUGACUCUUUCUUUCAUUUAUCUUGAAGGCUCAUCUCCAAGUGUAUUUGCAUUGGUCCAAGCUAAAGACCAGGCUCCCCAAAGACCCAUAUCCUAGCCUCUUGGAGAGAGAACACGGCACAAGAUACAAGAAAAGAAAAGCUUACAGCACCUGGUAUUCCCAGGCGGUCUCCCAUCCAAGUACUAACCAGGCCCGACCAUGCUUAGCUUCCGAGAUCGGACGAGAUCGGGCGUGUUCAGGGUGGUAUGGCCGUAAGCGAUGACACAGGCUCCAAAUGAGCUAUUUCAACGUGCUCCUGUGUGGUUCUCUCAAUUAUAAUCAGCAUUUCACUUUCAAUGAACAAUGCGUCGCUCAAGAAAACACCCGGAUACGCAGUCAAGCUUAGUUUUACAGCCUAUCUCUGCAGUCCAUCAUGCUCCACUCCUUUGCUCCACUUCAUCACAAGAUCUCAGUCCUCCCGCUCUUUGUGCUUUUUUGACUCUUUCUUUCAUUUAUCUUGAAGGCUCAUCUCCAAGUGUAUUUGCAUUGGUCCAAGCUAAAGACCAGGCUCCCCAAAGACCCAUAUCCUAGCCUCUUGGAGAGAGAACACGGCACAAGAUACAAGAAAAGAAAAGCUUACAGCACCUGGUAUUCCCAGGCGGUCUCCCAUCCAAGUACUAACCAGGCCCGACCCUGCUUAGCUUCCGAGAUCGGACGAGAUCGGGCGUGUUCAGGGUGGUAUGGCCGUAAGCGAUGACACAGGCUCCAAAUGAGCUAUUUCAACGUGCUCCUGUGUGGUUCUCUCAAUUAUAAUCAGCAUUUCACUUUCAAUGAACAAUGCGUCGCUCAAGAAAACACCCGGAUACGCAGUCAAGCUUAGUUUUACAGCCUAUCUCUGCAGUCCAUCAUGCUCCACUCCUUUGCUCCGCUUCAUGACAAGAUCUCAGUCCUCCCGCUCUUUGUGCUUUUUUGACUCUUUCUUUCAUUUAUCUUGAAGGCUCAUCUCCAAGUGUAUUUGCAUUGGUCCAAGCUAAAGACCAGGCUCCCCAAAGACCCAUAUCCUAGCCUCUUGGAGAGAGAACACGGCACAAGAUACAAGAAAAGAAAAGCUUACAGCACCUGGUAUUCCCAGGCGGUCUCCCAUCCAAGUACUAACCAGGCCCGACCCUGCUUAGCUUCCGAGAUCGGACGAGAUCGGGCGUGUUCAGGGUGGUAUGGCCGUAAGCGAUGACACAGGCUCCAAAUGAGCUAUUUCAACGUGCUCCUGUGUGGUUCUCUCAAUUAUAAUCAGCAUUUCACUUUCAAUGAACAAUGCGUCGCUCAAGAAAACACCCGGAUACGCAGUCAAGCUUAGUUUUACAGCCUAUCUCUGCAGUCCAUCAUGCUCCACUCCUUUGCUCCGCUUCAUGACAAGAUCUCAGUCCUCCCGCUCUUUGUGCUUUUUUGACUCUUUCUUUCAUUUAUCUUGAAGGCUCAUCUCCAAGUGUAUUUGCAUUGGUCCAAGCUAAAGACCAGGCUCCCCAAAGACCCAUAUCCUAGCCUCUUGGAGAGAGAACACGGCACAAGAUACAAGAAAAGAAAAGCUUACAGCACCUGGUAUUCCCAGGCGGUCUCCCAUCCAAGUACUAACCAGGCCCGACCCUGCUUAGCUUCCGAGAUCGGACGAGAUCGGGCGUGUUCAGGGUGGUAUGGCCGUAAGCGAUGACACAGGCUCCAAAUGAGCUAUUUCAACGUGCUCCUGUGUGGUUCUCUCAAUUAUAAUCAGCAUUUCACUUUCAAUGAACAAUGCGUCGCUCAAGAAAACACCCGGAUACGCAGUCAAGCUUAGUUUUACAGCCUAUCUCUGCAGUCCAUCAUGCUCCACUCCUUUGCUCCGCUUCAUGACAAGAUCUCAGUCCUCCCGCUCUUUGUGCUUUUUUGACUUUUUCUUUCAUUUAUCUUGAAGGCUCAUCUCCAAGUGUAUUUGCAUUGGUCCAAGCUAAAGACCAGGCUCCCCAAAGACCCAUAUCCUAGCCUCUUGGAGAGAGAACACGGCACAAGAUACAAGAAAAGAAAAGCUUACAGCACCUGGUAUUCCCAGGCGGUCUCCCAUCCAAGUACUAACCAGGCCCGACCCUGCUUAGCUUCCGAGAUCGGACGAGAUCGGGCGUGUUCAGGGUGGUAUGGCCGUAAGCGAUGACACAGGCUCCAAAUGAGCUAUUUCAACGUGCUCCUGUGUGGUUCUCUCAAUUAUAAUCAGCAUUUCACUUUCAAUGAACAAUGCGUCGCUCAAGAAAACACCCGGAUACGCAGUCAAGCUUAGUUUUACAGCCUAUCUCUGCAGUCCAUCAUGCUCCACUCCUUUGCUCCGCUUCAUGACAAGAUCUCAGUCCUCCCGCUCUUUGUGCUUUUUUGACUCUUUCUUUCAUUUAUCUUGAAGGCUCAUCUCCAAGUGUAUUUGCAUUGGUCCAAGCUAAAGACCAGGCUCCCCAAAGACCCAUAUCCUAGCCUCUUGGAGAGAGAACACGGCACAAGAUACAAGAAAAGAAAAGCUUACAGCACCUGGUAUUCCCAGGCGGUCUCCCAUCCAAGUACUAACCAGGCCCGACCCUGCUUAGCUUCCGAGAUCGGACGAGAUCGGGCGUGUUCAGGGUGGUAUGGCCGUAAGCGAUGACACAGGCUCCAAAUGAGCUAUUUGAACGUGCUCCUGUGUGGUUCUCUCAAUUAUAAUCAGCAUUUCACUUUCAAUGAACAAUGCGUCGCUCAAGAAAACACCCGGAUACGCAGUCAAGCUUAGUUUUACAGCCUAUCUCUGCAGUCCAUCAUGCUCCACUCCUUUGCUCCGCUUCAUGACAAGAUCUCAGUCCUCCCGCUCUUUGUGCUUUUUUGACUCUUUCUUUCAUUUAUCUUGAAGGCUCAUCUCCAAGUGUAUUUGCAUUGGUCCAAGCUAAAGACCAGGCUCCCCAAAGACCCAUAUCCUAGCCUCUUGGAGAGAGAACACGGCACAAGAUACAAGAAAAGAAAAGCUUACAGCACCUGGUAUUCCCAGGCGGUCUCCCAUCCAAGUACUAACCAGGCCCGACCCUGCUUAGCUUCCGAGAUCGGACGAGAUCGGGCGUGUUCAGGGUGGUAUGGCCGUAAGCGAUGACACAGGCUCCAAAUGAGCUAUUUCAACGUGCUCCUGUGUGGUUCUCUCAAUUAUAAUCAGCAUUUCACUUUCAAUGAACAAUGCGUCGCUCAAGAAAACACCCGGAUACGCAGUCAAGCUUAGUUUUACAGCCUAUCUCUGCAGUCCAUCAUGCUCCACUCCUUUGCUCCGCUUCAUGACAAGAUCUCAGUCCUCCCGCUCUUUGUGCUUUUUUGACUCUUUCUUUCAUUUAUCUUGAAGGCUCAUCUCCAAGUGUAUUUGCAUUGGUCCAAGCUAAAGACCAGGCUCCCCAAAGACCCAUAUCCUAGCCUCUUGGAGAGAGAACACGGCACAAGAUACAAGAAAAGAAAAGCUUACAGCACCUGGUAUUCCCAGGCGGUCUCCCAUCCAAGUACUAACCAGGCCCGACCCUGCUUAGCUUCCGAGAUCGGACGAGAUCGGGCGUGUUCAGGGUGGUAUGGCCGUAAGCGAUGACACAGGCUCCAAAUGAGCUAUUUCAACGUGCUCCUGUGUGGUUCUCUCAAUUAUAAUCAGCAUUUCACUUUCAAUGAACAAUGCGUCGCUCAAGAAAACACCCGGAUACGCAGUCAAGCUUAGUUUUACAGCCUAUCUCUGCAGUCCAUCAUGCUCCACUCCUUUGCUCCGCUUCAUGACAAGAUCUCAGUCCUCCCGCUCUUUGUGCUUUUUUGACUCUUUCUUUCAUUUAUCUUGAAGGCUCAUCUCCAAGUGUAUUUGCAUUGGUCCAAGCUAAAGACCAGGCUCCCCAAAGACCCAUAUCCUAGCCUCUUGGAGAGAGAACACGGCACAAGAUACAAGAAAAGAAAAGCUUACAGCACCUGGUAUUCCCAGGCGGUCUCCCAUCCAAGUACUAACCAGGCCCGACCCUGCUUAGCUUCCGAGAUCGGACGAGAUCGGGCGUGUUCAGGGUGGUAUGGCCGUAAGCGAUGACACAGGCUCCAAAUGAGCUAUUUGAACGUGCUCCUGUGUGGUUCUCUCAAUUAUAAUCAGCAUUUCACUUUCAAUGAACAAUGCGUCGCUCAAGAAAACACCCGGAUACGCAGUCAAGCUUAGUUUUACAGCCUAUCUCUGCAGUCCAUCAUGCUCCACUCCUUUGCUCCGCUUCAUGACAAGAUCUCAGUCCUCCCGCUCUUUGUGCUUUUUUGACUUUUUCUUUCAUUUAUCUUGAAGGCUCAUCUCCAAGUGUAUUUGCAUUGGUCCAAGCUAAAGACCAGGCUCCCCAAAGACCCAUAUCCUAGCCUCUUGGAGAGAGAACACGGCACAAGAUACAAGAAAAGAAAAGCUUACAGCACCUGGUAUUCCCAGGCGGUCUCCCAUCCAAGUACUAACCAGGCCCGACCCUGCUUAGCUUCCGAGAUCGGACGAGAUCGGGCGUGUUCAGGGUGGUAUGGCCGUAAGCGAUGACACAGGCUCCAAAUGAGCUAUUUCAACGUGCUCCUGUGUGGUUCUCUCAAUUAUAAUCAGCAUUUCACUUUCAAUGAACAAUGCGUCGCUCAAGAAAACACCCGGAUACGCAGUCAAGCUUAGUUUUACAGCCUAUCUCUGCAGUCCAUCAUGCUCCACUCCUUUGCUCCGCUUCAUGACAAGAUCUCAGUCCUCCCGCUCUUUGUGCUUUUUUGACUCUUUCUUUCAUUUAUCUUGAAGGCUCAUCUCCAAGUGUAUUUGCAUUGGUCCAAGCUAAAGACCAGGCUCCCCAAAGACCCAUAUCCUAGCCUCUUGGAGAGAGAACACGGCACAAGAUACAAGAAAAGAAAAGCUUCAGCACCUGGUAUUCCCAGGCGGUCUCCCAUCCAAGUACUAACCAGGCCCGACCCUGCUUAGCUUCCGAGAUCGGACGAGAUCGGGCGUGUUCAGGGUGGUAUGGCCGUAAGCGAUGACACAGGCUCCAAAUGAGCUAUUUGAACGUGCUCCUGUGUGGUUCUCUCAAUUAUAAUCAGCAUUUCACUUUCAAUGAACAAUGCGUCGCUCAAGAAAACACCCGGAUACGCAGUCAAGCUUAGUUUUACAGCCUAUCUCUGCAGUCCAUCAUGCUCCACUCCUUUGCUCCGCUUCAUGACAAGAUCUCAGUCCUCCCGCUCUUUGUGCUUUUUUGACUCUUUCUUUCAUUUAUCUUGAAGGCUCAUCUCCAAGUGUAUUUGCAUUGGUCCAAGCUAAAGACCAGGCUCCCCAAAGACCCAUAUCCUACCCUCUUGGAGAGGGAAUACGGCACAAGAUACAAGAAAAGAAAAGCUUACAGCACCUGGUAUUCCCAGGCGGUCUCCCAUCCAAGUACUAACCAGGCCCGACCCUGCUUAGCUUCCGAGAUCGGACGAGAUCGGGCGUGUUCAGGGUGGUAUGGCCGUAAGCGAUGACACAGGCUCCAAAUGAGCUAUUUCAACGUGCUCCUGUGUGGUUCUCUCAAUUAUAAUCAGCAUUUCACUUUCAAUGAACAAUGCGUCGCUCAAGAAAACACCCGGAUACGCAGUCAAGCUUAGUUUUACAGCCUAUCUCUGCAGUCCAUCAUGCUCCACUCCUUUGCUCCGCUUCAUGACAAGAUCUCAGUCCUCCCGCUCUUUGUGCUUUUUUGACUCUUUCUUUCAUUUAUCUUGAAGGCUCAUCUCCAAGUGUAUUUGCAUUGGUCCAAGCUAAAGACCAGGCUCCCCAAAGACCCAUAUCCUAGCCUCUUGGAGAGAGAACACGGCACAAGAUACAAGAAAAGAAAAGCUUACAGCACCUGGUAUUCCCAGGCGGUCUCCCAUCCAAGUACUAACCAGGCCCGACCCUGCUUAGCUUCCGAGAUCGGACGAGAUCGGGCGUGUUCAGGGUGGUAUGGCCGUAAGCGAUGACACAGGCUCCAAAUGAGCUAUUUCAACGUGCUCCUGUGUGGUUCUCUCAAUUAUAAUCAGCAUUUCACUUUCAAUGAACAAUGCGUCGCUCAAGAAAACACCCGGAUACGCAGUCAAGCUUAGUUUUACAGCCUAUCUCUGCAGUCCAUCAUGCUCCACUCCUUUGCUCCGCUUCAUGACAAGAUCUCAGUCCUCCCGCUCUUUGUGCUUUUUUGACUCUUUCUUUCAUUUAUCUUGAAGGCUCAUCUCCAAGUGUAUUUGCAUUGGUCCAAGCUAAAGACCAGGCUCCCCAAAGACCCAUAUCCUAGCCUCUUGGAGAGAGAACACGGCACAAGAUACAAGAAAAGAAAAGCUUACAGCACCUGGUAUUCCCAGGCGGUCUCCCAUCCAAGUACUAACCAGGCCCGACCCUGCUUAGCUUCCGAGAUCGGACGAGAUCGGGCGUGUUCAGGGUGGUAUGGCCGUAAGCGAUGACACAGGCUCCAAAUGAGCUAUUUCAACGUGCUCCUGUGUGGUUCUCUCAAUUAUAAUCAGCAUUUCACUUUCAAUGAACAAUGCGUCGCUCAAGAAAACACCCGGAUACGCAGUCAAGCUUAGUUUUACAGCCUAUCUCUGCAGUCCAUCAUGCUCCACUCCUUUGCUCCGCUUCAUGACAAGAUCUCAGUCCUCCCGCUCUUUGUGCUUUUUUGACUUUUUCUUUCAUUUAUCUUGAAGGCUCAUCUCCAAGUGUAUUUGCAUUGGUCCAAGCUAAAGACCAGGCUCCCCAAAGACCCAUAUCCUAGCCUCUUGGAGAGAGAACACGGCACAAGAUACAAGAAAAGAAAAGCUUACAGCACCUGGUAUUCCCAGGCGGUCUCCCAUCCAAGUACUAACCAGGCCCGACCCUGCUUAGCUUCCGAGAUCGGACGAGAUCGGGCGUGUUCAGGGUGGUAUGGCCGUAAGCGAUGACACAGGCUCCAAAUGAGCUAUUUCAACGUGCUCCUGUGUGGUUCUCUCAAUUAUAAUCAGCAUUUCACUUUCAAUGAACAAUGCGUCGCUCAAGAAAACACCCGGAUACGCAGUCAAGCUUAGUUUUACAGCCUAUCUCUGCAGUCCAUCAUGCUCCACUCCUUUGCUCCGCUUCAUGACAAGAUCUCAGUCCUCCCGCUCUUUGUGCUUUUUUGACUUUUUCUUUCAUUUAUCUUGAAGGCUCAUCUCCAAGUGUAUUUGCAUUGGUCCAAGCUAAAGACCAGGCUCCCCAAAGACCCAUAUCCUAGCCUCUUGGAGAGAGAACACGGCACAAGAUACAAGAAAAGAAAAGCUUACAGCACCUGGUAUUCCCAGGCGGUCUCCCAUCCAAGUACUAACCAGGCCCGACCCUGCUUAGCUUCCGAGAUCGGACGAGAUCGGGCGUGUUCAGGGUGGUAUGGCCGUAAGCGAUGACACAGGCUCCAAAUGAGCUAUUUCAACGUGCUCCUGUGUGGUUCUCUCAAUUAUAAUCAGCAUUUCACUUUCAAUGAACAAUGCGUCGCUCAAGAAAACACCCGGAUACGCAGUCAAGCUUAGUUUUACAGCCUAUCUCUGCAGUCCAUCAUGCUCCACUCCUUUGCUCCGCUUCAUGACAAAGAUCUCAGUCCUCCCGCUCUUUGUGCUUUUUUGACUCUUUCUUUCAUUUAUCUUGAAGGCUCAUCUCCAAGUGUAUUUGCAUUGGUCCAAGCUAAAGACCAGGCUCCCCAAAGACCCAUAUCCUAGCCUCUUGGAGAGAGAACACGGCACAAGAUACAAGAAAAGAAAAGCUUACAGCACCUGGUAUUCCCAGGCGGUCUCCCAUCCAAGUACUAACCAGGCCCGACCCUGCUUAGCUUCCGAGAUCGGACGAGAUCGGGCGUGUUCAGGGUGGUAUGGCCGUAAGCGAUGACACAGGCUCCAAAUGAGCUAUUUCAACGUGCUCCUGUGUGGUUCUCUCAAUUAUAAUCAGCAUUUCACUUUCAAUGAACAAUGCGUCGCUCAAGAAAACACCCGGAUACGCAGUCAAGCUUAGUUUUACAGCCUAUCUCUGCAGUCCAUCAUGCUCCACUCCUUUGCUCCGCUUCAUGACAAGAUCUCAGUCCUCCCGCUCUUUGUGCUUUUUUGACUCUUUCUUUCAUUUAUCUUGAAGGCUCAUCUCCAAGUGUAUUUGCAUUGGUCCAAGCUAAAGACCAGGCUCCCCAAAGACCCAUAUCCUAGCCUCUUGGAGAGAGAACACGGCACAAGAUACAAGAAAAGAAAAGCUUACAGCACCUGGUAUUCCCAGGCGGUCUCCCAUCCAAGUACUAACCAGGCCCGACCCUGCUUAGCUUCCGAGAUCGGACGAGAUGGGGCGUGUUCAGGGUGGUAUGGCCGUAAGCGAUGACACAGGCUCCAAAUGAGCUAUUUGAACGUGCUCCUGUGUGGUUCUCUCAAUUAUAAUCAGCAUUUCACUUUCAAUGAACAAUGCGUCGCUCAAGAAAACACCCGGAUACGCAGUCAAGCUUAGUUUUACAGCCUAUCUCUGCAGUCCAUCAUGCUCCACUCCUUUGCUCCGCUUCAUGACAAGAUCUCAGUCCUCCCGCUCUUUGUGCUUUUUUGACUCUUUCUUUCAUUUAUCUUGAAGGCUCAUCUCCAAGUGUAUUUGCAUUGGUCCAAGCUAAAGACCAGGCUCCCCAAAGACCCAUAUCCUAGCCUCUUGGAGAGAGAACACGGCACAAGAUACAAGAAAAGAAAAGCUUACAGCACCUGGUAUUCCCAGGCGGUCUCCCAUCCAAGUACUAACCAGGCCCGACCCUGCUUAGCUUCCGAGAUCGGACGAGAUCGGGCGUGUUCAGGGUGGUAUGGCCGUAAGCGAUGACACAGGCUCCAAAUGAGCUAUUUCAACGUGCUCCUGUGUGGUUCUCUCAAUUAUAAUCAGCAUUUCACUUUCAAUGAACAAUGCGUCGCUCAAGAAAACACCCGGAUACGCAGUCAAGCUUAGUUUUACAGCCUAUCUCUGCAGUCCAUCAUGCUCCACUCCUUUGCUCCGCUUCAUGACAAGAUCUCAGUCCUCCCGCUCUUUGUGCUUUUUUGACUCUUUCUUUCAUUUAUCUUGAAGGCUCAUCUCCAAGUGUAUUUGCAUUGGUCCAAGCUAAAGACCAGGCUCCCCAAAGACCCAUAUCCUAGCCUCUUGGAGAGAGAACACGGCACAAGAUACAAGAAAAGAAAAGCUUACAGCACCUGGUAUUCCCAGGCGGUCUCCCAUCCAAGUACUAACCAGGCCCGACCCUGCUUAGCUUCCGAGAUCGGACGAGAUCGGGCGUGUUCAGGGUGGUAUGGCCGUAAGCGAUGACACAGGCUCCAAAUGAGCUAUUUCAACGUGCUCCUGUGUGGUUCUCUCAAUUAUAAUCAGCAUUUCACUUUCAAUGAACAAUGCGUCGCUCAAGAAAACACCCGGAUACGCAGUCAAGCUUAGUUUUACAGCCUAUCUCUGCAGUCCAUCAUGCUCCACUCCUUUGCUCCACUUCAUGACAAGAUCUCAGUCCUCCCGCUCUUUGUGCUUUUUUGACUCAUUCUUUCAUUUAUCUUGAAGGCUCAUCUCCAAGUGUAUUUGCAUUGGUCCAAGCUAAAGACCAGGCUCCCCAAAGACCCAUAUCCUAGCCUC